AGGCCAUUGAUGAGAACCAGAGCUAAUGACCCAAAUUAGGUGAAAUAACUCAUGGGUUGUAUGAAAGAAAUUGAUCUUCAAGUACCCGAUUCCCGGCGGGUUGCCAUCGUUAUGAAACUCACCAGCGCCUUGGGGCCCCCACGAUUCGUUGCAAAAUUCGACCUCUAAGGCAUCACCUCCUCUGAGUCUUGGUAUGUUGUCUUGUCAAAGAGACUAAUCUGUAACUUAGUUUGGAUAUCGCUAUUAUCCUUUACUGUUGAUAGCUAUAAUGUGAGAAAACUGGCUUCAUGUCUUGUCAAUUUCUUGGAUGUCCUAAACAGUUUCAAGGGUUUCAAUACGAUUCUUGAUGCGAAGGUUCAAGGUUAAUGGAGGAUUUGAGUAAAACUAUUUUAUUUUUAUUUUU